rnacentral:rRNA from 1 species
AGGGAAUUUUCCACAAUGGGCGAAAGCCUGAUGGAGCAACGCCGCGUGAACGAUGAAGGUCUUCGGAUUGUAAAGUUCUGUUGCCAGGGACGAAUAAGUACCGUUCGAACAGGGCGGUACCUUGACGGUACCUGACGAGAAAGCCCCGGCUAACUACGUGCCAGCAGCCGCGGUAAUACGUAGGGGGCACGCGUUGUCCGGAAUUAUUGGGCGUAAAGCGCGCGCAGGCGGUCGGGUAAGUCUGAUGUUAAAGCCCGGGGCUCAACCCCGGUUCGCAUUGGAAACUGCUCGACUUGAGUGCAGAAGAGGAAAGCGGAAUUCCACGUGUAGCGGUGAAAUGCGUAGAGAUGUGGAGGAACACCAGUGGCGAAGGCGGCUUUCUGGUCUGUAACUGACGCUGAGGCGCGAAAGCGUGGGGAGCAAAC